AAGACAUGGAGUGUCGCGGGGGCAGCUGAGUGAUCCAGCCUUGCUCAGUUCCACGAACACCCCUUCUCCAGCAAGGAGGCAGCCCCAGCUCUCUUCUCGCCAACCUGUGUGUGGCUCUCAAGAGAGAAGAAUGAAGGAUGUGCAAUUUCAGAUCAAAAAGGACCCAAAAUAUUUACUAUAAAAUAAAUGUGCUCACCUGGACCUCACUUACAUUCAUUUACUGCUGCCCAAAGGCACAUAGGCCAGGUCCUCCCACUCCUGCAUCCAGUCCUCUUUCUCCCCUCUUUCUCAUUUUGAGCCCAGCCUGCCAACAUUCCCUGCAGGACCCAGCCUGUAGGGCAGAGGUCAUUUUAGGGAUCAUUGUUGGCAUUCACAGGAUGCUCCAUUGUCAAUCAUAAUUGCCAUGACAACUCUAGGGCCCAUUCAGCAGCUGCCCCUUUCCAUUGGACCCUGGGCACUGCCAGUGAGGGGCCUGGUUGACAGCAAGCUCUGGUUGCCAUGGGAAGUCAUAUCUGCCCUGUGGGAAGCCUCCUAUGUGUCAGGGCAGUCACCUGCCACCCUCCUCACAUCCCUUGUCCUCCUGCCCCAGGCCAUUUUAUGACUUUUGUGGCCCCUUAGGCACUUUGGCUUUCAUGGGUUCCUUUCUCCAUUAAAAAAACUCACUAUGACUGUAUUAGUAGAC
rnacentral:lncRNA from 1 species